rnacentral:lncRNA from 1 species
AUCAGUGCCAAUCAUGCCACCCACAAUACCACGCCACCCAUACUACCCACAGGGACCAACCACGCUACCCACAUCAGUGCCAACGACGCCACCCACACCAAUCAUGCCACACACAAUACCACGCCACCCACAUUGAUCACACCAACCACAGCAAUCAUGCCACACACAAUACCACGCCACCUAUACUACCCACAUGGACCAACCACGCUACCCACAUCAGUGCUAAUCAUGCCACCCACAUGGACCAUGCUACCCAUGCCACCCACACCAACCACGCCAACCACAACCCACAACACCCAUGCCACCCACAUCAACCGCACCAACCACGCAGCUUCCCAGGCAGGCUCAGCACCUAUUUCCCGCCUCUCAGUAGCCUGAACAGCUGCCCCUUCCUUAUUCUCCAGUUGGCUCUGAU